CGCAGCCGGGAAGGCUCGGCCAGGGAGAGAUGCCGGCGAAACGGGGCGACAAAGCGUCUCCCCCGCGCCUGUGUGUGUGUCCCCGCUGAUUUUUGCUCCUGUCGCGGUCGGGUCCGCGACCUUUGCUGAGCCGCGGAGGAGGGACGGGGCUCCGCGGAGCAGCGCGGAGGGAAGCGGGGUCGGUGCGGGCGUCGCCACGCCGGGCAGGGGAUAGGAGUAGGGGCACGGCAACGUGUUACAAAUUUAUAAGCAUUAUACAUAUUUGAUUUACAUUGCGUUCCGAAGUUGUGGGCUUUUUCUUUUUUUCUUUUCUUCUUCUUGUUCUUUUUUUUUUUUUUUUUCCGAGGAUGCCCCAAACCCCCGUGUUCACAUAGAUUGAGCAAUUCUCAACACACACUGUAAUAAUGAGCUUUAAUUCUCUAUCCAAGCAGAACUUGAGCAAUAAUAAUAAGCACAUCAGAACAAUUUGUUUACUGUGGCAUUGCACAGGCUGCAGGGUCCAAGACUAGCUACAAUAAACGGUAAAAACCAAAGGAAAGGCCCUAGAACAGGAAAAAUAUCGUGAUAGAAACGUGGUUUUGGCUUUCAAGGAAAGAGGUACUUGACUAGCAUUGUAGCUCGGAUAUUUUGCCCUUGUCCAAGACUGAGACAUUAGCUGAAUUCCCUGGGGGUGAUUGGAUGCAAUUCGCUGAAAGUCGACAGGCACGUCCUGGAUGUUAGAAAUUCACUUUUCCUCAACGUGACAAGGCUGAGUUCGAUCUACAAUUGUAUUUGAAAGGGCAAUGAGCGGAAAGAUCUCCCAUCAUUAAAACCUCCCUCUUCUUUAGCAAAAUAACAAGAUACUUCAUUUGCACACAAACACUCAGGAGAAAAAAAGAGAAUCCCCAAACCCCAACCGACCCGCGAUAACUCUUUGAUAAAACGCUAUCUCCGCAUAAUUUGGGAGGGGGGGGACCGCAUAUCAAAAGGUAUCGGAGGACCCCCAAAGCGCCCAUGUGAUCAAGUUGACUUUUUACUUUAAAUCUUGAAUAAGAUGUGAGUUGUAACAAGGGGAUUUGCACUUACUCUAUGACCCUUGUAAUUGGAUUAAAUAUGGACUGAGACGUACAAAAACAUACCAAGAUUGACACCUGCCAACUGGACUUCCUUAUGAUUGAUUGUGAUGCUUCGUGCUGGCAACAAUAAUGAAAUAAAUUGUAUGGAUAAAACA